CAGAAAGUAGUCUAAUCCCAGGAUCUUAGUUUUGGAGACUAAGGAUAAGAGUGUAAAUCUCUUCUAUCUGA
rnacentral:tRNA from 1 species